UACGUAGGGGGCAAGCGUUGUCCGGAUUUAUUGGGCGUAAAGAGCGUGUAGGCGGCCAUACAGGUCAGCUGUGAAAACUCGAGGCUCAACCUCGAGACGUCGGUUGAAACCGUAUGGCUAGAGUCCGGAAGAGGAGAGUGGAAUUCCCGGUGUAGCGGUGAAAUGCGCAGAUAUCGGGAAGAACACCCGUGGCGAAGGCGGCUCUCUGGGACGGUACUGACGCUGAGACGGCGAAAGCGUGGGGAGCGAACGAGG
rnacentral:rRNA from 1 species